GAAUAGCUAGAUACACCUCCGAACAAAUAGCGAUGUAAUAUCCCGCUAUCGUAAGGUAAGUGAACUUGCAUUUCAAAAUGUUUUGGGGAAAUGCUUACGUGUUUUAAUGAAUCAUUUAAGAAUUUUAUUUGUUUUUGCUAAAAAAAAAUGCUUGGGAACAAGCCCUUGAUAAAACAUUUUAUGUUGUGAAAUGUACGAUAUGAUAAAUCCAUGUGCAUCUAUGUCAUGUUGAUGCAUAUAUAUGUCAUGACCCAAAUUUUGGGCCAUGACCGGUGCAUGAGCCCAAUGGAUGUAGUCCACUAAGCCCAAGCAAGCCUAUUAAUCUGACGCAUUCAUCAUUCCAUCAUAAACUGCUAAGUCACAUUUCAUACUUGAAUCAAAAUAAUAUUAAACAUUGCCAUCUCAUAUUGGCAUACCAAACAAGUGUAUAUACAUUGUCUACAACAUAUAUCUUAAUAAUUUACAUUAGGUUUAUCUAUACACAACAAAAGAGACUCGAUGUCCAGCAGAGAAACUCAACGAAUGUAUAGCUACUGAAUGUUGAGGCACCUACCAAAAGAUGGAUACAAGUCUACAAAGACACCUCGUCCUAGUUACCGGCUGCCUCGUGAUCUAAAAAUAUAAAGUUGAAAACGGUGAGUAUAAACCCAGUGAGUGAACAAGAAAGGAAACAAGCAUACCAUAAGGAAUGUUUAACGAAAUCAUGAUGCAUUCUUUUUCAAAACAAAGCAAUUUGUUUUUUAUUCUUAUUAAAAACCCCUCAUCAAGCCCUUAAAUGAUUAAUCAUUUGAAAAUCAUGAACCCAUACAUAACGAACCAUUUGAAGAAUGAAAGCUUCAAUGAUACGAAUGCAAGUCAAAUACGACAAUGAAUCUUCGCUGCAGCGAGAAUGAAUUUUCGCUGCAGCGACGUUGGGAUUAAGUUAUUAGCCAAACGAGGGUUUCUCAACUGGUCGAGGGUUUCUCACUAAACCUCCUCAUUUUAAACUUAACUCAUUUAGUCUUUAAUGUUGGAAGUCCAUGCUCCGAUAUGGUAGCAAAGAAGUGAAAAAUAAGGCAGCAAUUGGACAAGAUAGGAGACAAAAACAUAAAGUUUUUCGCUGCAGCGAGUUUUCGACCAGUCUACCCCUCCAAACUUGAGAGUUGCUCGCUGCAGCAAAAAUGAUUCUCGCUGCAGUGAGAAACAGGGCACCAAUGAAAAAUUUGCCCUUCUUCCCAAAGAAAACCACCCUGUUGAAAUGUCCAAACCAACAUGAAACGCAUAACAAUUUUCCACAGUUUAACAUGUCAAGUUUCACAUGCAUUACAACCAUAUACCAUUACUAAUUAAUUUCCUAUAACACACAUAUUUACAUAUGUAUAUAUGUAUACGUAUACGCAUCAUCAUCAUGCACACCAUCCCAUCAUCAUCAUCACCAACUCAUGCGCACUCCUUACUCGCACAUGGCUAGGUCAUCACCGGGUUAUGUGCACUCCCUACUUGCACAUAACCGGGUCAUCCUCUGCUUAUGCACACUCCCUACUCGCACAUAGCCGAGUCAAUGUCAUUACACAAUAAAAUAUUCAUAUAUAUAUAUAUAUCAACAUAAUGUGGUAGUGCAUGAAUCAAUAAUAGUCACAUGUCAUAACAUAAACCAUUUCUCAAGAGCUUGUUCCCAAGGCACUCAUUUUUAAGAAAAAUUGUAUAAAAUCAUUCAAACACUUUAUACAAAACAGUCACAUUCCCAAAAUAGUUUUGAUAGGCAGUCCACUCACCAGUAUAUUGUUGAGCCUUUAGUUGACUCUAAUUCCCCUAAUGAUCCAAUUGGGAUGAUAGGGCUUCGUUAGAACCUAGAAUCACAUUAGUAUCAGCAAUAGGUCAAUUCACAUACUAUAAACCCUAAAAGCUAUCUCUUAGCUAGCUUUCAAUUGCUACUUUAAAUGGCUAUCUAUGUUCACUAUCUAAAUCACUAUAAAAUGAAUGAACAUCCUCAACAAUAAAACAGCUCUUAAUCUAAAUUACUAGCCAUUAUUCACAACUAAAAAUCAAGCUUGGUUCAUUACUCACCCUAAUGUUCCUUUGUAGUUGAAUUCUCUUUCAAUAGCUUCCACACAAAUGGGGUAAUUCUCUCUUUCUCUCUCUAGAAUGCCCAACUAGUGAGAGAAAGUAUGGAAAUAAGAUUUUUCAAGGGUUUUAAGGAGAGAGAGUGGAAGAAUACAAGGGUUCUAGUCAUAAGGGCACAAAGGUAUGAAAACUAGAGCUAGAGAGAGAAAAUCAUCCAAGCAACAUAUCAAGCUUCCAUGGAGGUUGGAAGCAACGUGAAAGAGAAGAAGGAGGAAGAAGAAGAAGCUGCUGGAAGAAAGUAUUUAUAGCCAAUCUUAUCCAUUCCACUUAAAUUACCAAAAUGCCCAUCCACCAAUUAACUUACUCUCCUCCAACCCUUUAUGAAAUCUUUUUACUCCUUUGACAUCGGGACAAGGUCCAUAAUGGUCUAGACAUACUCGGGUUCAUGAAAACUUAAAAUUUUAACCCAAUGUGAAAAAUGACCAUUUUGCCCUUAUCGUGAAAAUUAUCAAAAUUUUUGUUUUCUUUUCAUUUUACCCCUAAUUUCAUCAUCCAUUUAUGCCUUAGGCCUUCUUAGGCCAUAACAUUGUUAAAAAUCUUACUUUUAUGGGCUUACUAAGGAAAUGACGAAAUUACCCCUGAUCAGGGAUAUCGCGUAUACUUCCCUUUACGAGUCUAUAAAGGUCAAGGUCUCACAAUAUAUAUAUGGAUAUAUGAUAUGUAUGGAUAAGUAAUAUUACGUGGUAAUCAUAACUGAGUAUGUGUGGUGGGGAAGGGCACAUACCAGUAAUGACGGUGAUUCCAGCUAUGUGCGGAUGUGGUGGUGGACAUGAGCUGAGGACCGGUGGGGGAUUCCAGCCAUGUGCGGAUGUGGGGGUGCACAUGAGCUGAUGACUGGCGAUGGUCUAUACCCAGCUACGUGCGGUGCGAAAAGGCACAUGAGCUGAGAACCGUUGGCGUAUACAUGUUUGUAUAUAUAUAUAUAUGCCAUAGAGAUGAUUAUAUAUGCUAUGAAAUUAUUUGCAUAUGUUAUGAAAGGGUUAUGAAAAUAAUACGUGAUUGCACUGAAUAUUGAGGAAACUUGAGUAUUGUCAAUGUGUUCAAUUUAAUGUGCCAUGUGGCAUGAGUGAAUUUUCCUUGUGGCAGUAAAAACCCCUUAGAUUUUAUCUGGCCAGAAUUUCGUUGCAGCGAGAAUGCCUUUUCGCUGCUGUGAGAGUUAAUCUAUUAUGCUUGACUUGCUUGAAUUCUACUAAAAUUUUCACUUUUCAACUUCUUUGUUUUUCAUGGGUCUUUCGUCAUUAAGUGACUAAACAACCAAGGGUUUGAAUGAGGGGUUUUUAAUAAGAAAUGAACUAAAUUGCAUUGUUUUUGAACUUAAGUGCAUCAUGAUUUCUAAACCUUCCUUAAAAUUGCUUGUUCCCUUCCUAUGUUUUAAGAGCUCAUGGCCCAAAAAUUAGGCUGUGACAAACAUGGUAUUAGAGCUCUAGGUUUAGUUGAAUCAUAGGGAUUCUUGUGUGGUCAGCAGAGUUGUUGGAGUCCAUGUAGAGUCUUGUCCUUGGAUUGUGGGUGCGUAACGCAAGUCAAGGACAGGAGGCUACAUGAGCCCUUACUUCAUUAGAAACCUACCUACUCUUAUGAGCUAUAAAUGGCUAAGUAAUUUAUACUUGGUUGCGUAUAGGUUUGGAGGUGCGUCUGUUGCACGCGCCACAUCUAGAAGAGACGGUAGUCCCGACACCCUUCAUAGUACUAGUGAGGGAUCGUUAGAUUCCACUACUCGGAGUCGAUAUGUGCCCGAGGGUGACAGCGUAACAAGUAACUCGACCAAAUUUUUGAGUGGAUCGAUUCCCCCGAGAGGUAAACCAUUAUUUAAGAGCUUGAGGUGUCUCGCAAGACUGGUGCGUAUUGAAAUCGAUCUGAGGAAAAAGAACAUGAACAAGAUGGAAAAAAAAGGACUAUCAGUAAUUAUCGCCUAGGAAGGUAUCUGUAUCCGUUGUCCGACAGUUCCCUCCUGAUUAUGGGAGAAGUGCUGCACCUGUUAGUAAGGAGGAAUUUGAGAGGCAACAGCAAGCUCGAAUUAAGGAUAAAAUGAAAAAAUCCCAGGAAAUAGAAGAGGACCCAGAAGAGAAUCCGUCGAUGUGCUCGGCUCAAGGCAACGAGGAUCCUAAAGACACGUAAUAUUUUCAUUGAAGUUCGUAUCACUUUAAGUCUAAGCAGAUGCAGUGUAAGGGAAAUAGUAGUAGUUAUCUAUACAUAGGAGUUAAGAGUUGGUUUUUAUUUUGUAUGACUCGAACGGAUUAUAAAGUAGCUGUUUAAAUGACUGGAUGUGUGUGGGAAUCUUUUGGUAUGACAAAGGUAGACUAACAAUAUAAUUAUUAAGGAAGGAUAUUCGCCUUAGUGGCCUGGUUGGUCGCCUUAAAUGAUUAUUAAGGAUGGACGUAGAAAGUCAUUAAUGGUACAAACAACUAUGAGGUCUAACAAAUGAUUACCAAUUAAUCGUAGAAAGGUGAAAUUUGAAAUCCCGAUUGCAGUUAUAAUUCGGAAGAAUAUGGGAGAAAUCAAUGAGGAUAUAGGUGACGCUUAGAAUGGAUGAUGUGAUUAAUUCAAGGAUUGUAAAAUUUAAGUUUGGAAGGAACUACAAAAUGAUGCCAUGAUAUUAUAAGAUGAUAAUUUGGUACAAAUAUAGACUAAAGGAGGCAAAUUAUGGAACUUGGGAAAAGGUGAAUCCUUGAUCUAAUAAAGAUUGAGAAUGUAGAGCGUGGAGAAAGAUGAACUAUUUUCAUGGCCAUUUGUACUAAAAGUCAACAAAACUAUUUGAGUUACAAGACAACAAAGACAAUUAAUUGUGAAUGUUAAGGAAUUGUGGAAUGUCAUAAUUGGUGAAUAAUUUUGUGUGUGGUAUUAUAUAUUGAGAAUUUGAUGCACAAUAUGGCAAGAUUGUCCUAAGGUGAGACUUAUUGGUUGAAGAUAAAUGUUAAAGGAUAAAAUGAGUUUGAAAAUAUUGACUCGGCUUAGAGCACAUGAUAAGCAAAAGAGAAGAUACGCAUGGUCAUGAAAAUUGUGGGAUAGGCUUGGAGGAAAGCCAAAUGGUUGAGCAUGAUCCCUGUAGUACCUUUAAAGGUGGAAGAACUUAUUUGUGGAAGAAAUUUCUAGCAGCCACAGCGCUAAAGCACUAACUCUUUAGCGCUGCAGCAUUGAAACUAUCCCAUGUAUUACAGUCGCGACGCUGCAGCAUUGACUGUCCAGCGCCUCAAUGCUACGAAUACCUCAUGUCUAUGAUGCAUGAGCAAGAUGGGAGUGGCACGAUAAUGAGCUUACAAGUUGAGUUAUGGUCAUUGGUCAUUGAGCUUUGUUAUUUAGGAGUUUUAAACGUUCUGGAGAAUGUUUACAUGAAUGAAUUGAAAAGUUUCUUUAUUGCCUUGUAUAUGAGCAUAUAAUUAAAAGAGAAGUUGAAAGAUUCUUGAGAUGGCUACAUUGAGAUAAGAACCGUGUGAAGUAUUAGGAUGAAUAAUAUGUUGACCAAAGCCAAAUCCUACGAAAUAAGGGAGACGAGAGAUUAAGCCUUGUUAAAGGCUAAGGAAAAAGGGAGUGAAGAGUUAGAUGAAUAUAUGAGAUAUUGAUAAGGGAUGUCAAUACCAAGUGAUGAAAGUGUGAAUGAAAGACUACAGGAGUGGUAUAGCAAAUGGGUUUAUCCAGCAUGUCGUUAUGAGAAUUUGCAAUUCUUGUCUUGACUUAGCUAAAUAAAAAAGGUUAAUAACAACACAAAGCCAAUUGUGUGGCACACUAGAAACCUAUGAAGAUAAAUUGGCGAUUGAAUGGACGAGUAUGUAUUUAUAUAUCUUUAAGAAUAAGUGCAUGUCUAUAGAAUGAUAUGCUCAGGAUGUUAACGAGCAAAUAAGAGACCAAGUGUUUCAGGAAUGCAGAAACAUCUUUGAGAAGGAAUUACCAAUCAUACACGGCAAGUAUAAAAUGUGAAAUUUUGAAAUUUGCUGAGGAGCCUAACGACUAAGUCACGGGUUAAGUGAUCACAUGUGGUGAAACAUAAGUUUAAGAUAAGUAUCCCUAAGGAAAUACUCAAGAGGAGUUCUGCUAUGGAUCUUGUGAAAGCAAGCAUUAAGUUAUGUGGUUAUAAAGAGGAAGUCGUAAGCUAGAAGUGAGAUUCGUAUUGACAUUGAAAAGUACUUAUGGAGGACCUUGUUUCAAGUCUUACAGCUUUAAGUACAAACUGCAGAUUGGUCCGGGGAGAAUGAUGUCACAUUAGUAUGGAAGAUUCAACAAAGGAUGAUUGAAGAUAAUCUGGAUAAUGAAGCCCCAUAAUGAAAACUUCCUUAUGUAGUAUGGAAAUUGGAAUUUGAAAAUACUUAAGGCAUGCAUGAUUCGAAUGAGUCUAAGUUUUAAGUGAUUCAAUAAAGUCAAAAUGCAACAAGGAUAUAAUAUAUAUAUAUAUAUAUAUAUAUAUGUUGGAGGUGUGAAGAAUAAUUGAGAAAUAAGGAUGACUUUUAGGGAUUGUGGUAUUGCAUAAGAUGCAAUAAUCCAAUAAAGAUAAACCUUUGAAAGAUCAACGAGAUUAUAAGGCAUACAUGAAUACCAUAUUGCAAUUUAAUGCAAAUGACAUUUAGCAAGUGAGAUGUGAUUAAUAACAUUGUGAUGCAAGGAUAUAUAGUACGAUGAAACUCAAGCAUAUAAUUGGAAAUGGUAUAAACGAUAUGAAGUUAGGUAUAGGCAUAACAAUACUGUUGACAUGCACUAUGAGGAUUAUUAUAUUGAAUCUUGGAUAGGGAUGGGGAUGAAUAAAGGGAAAUGUAGUCCAAGGCACGCGAACACAUGGAUCCCUAUGUGUAACGAGGGAUGUUGACAUUUGGAAAUGCAUGUACAUACGUAUAUGUGAAAUUGAUGACUUAACCAACUGAGGUGAAGAAUUGUUCUCAGUGAUUUGAGAUUUGAACUUUAUGUAUUUGAUGAGUUGUAUAGAUGGUACAACAGCAAGAAGUCCCAUUAGAAGUUGAACUAUGAUGAUAUAAGAAAUUUUGGGAAAAAUAGUUAGAGAAAUGAGAUUAAAGAAAUGUAAUUCAUAGCGUGGGAAUAAUUGAAUUAUGUGGUGUAAAUGCAAGAUAAACCUGAAGUAUGUGGGAAUACUUGAAGGCAUUAACCUUCCUCAACGUUGAGACUAUGUACAAAGAUGAAUAUGGCAUGUUUAUAAUGCUGUAGGCCACAUAAUAGUGUAUGGUGAUAAGAUGAAUGAAUGAAUGUCGAGAAGUUUGGCAAGAAGCGAAAUAAUAAGAUGGUGAUUAGGCAUACAUAAGUAAGCAUAAUAUGUGAUCAAAAUCAGCAUGAUUGAGAUGGAGUUAUGGUUCAAAUUUAAUGAUAGUGAUAGAAGCAUGCUUUGAGUCUUAAUAUAAGAGAUCAUGAUUAUGAAGUGUAUUGCUAAUUUGAUUCUAAAGGAUAAUAAUAGACAUAAGUGAAGUAUUCAAGUGAAUCGAAAGUGAACGAGGUGAAUAAAUCAAAUUCCCUAUAAAAGGGAUACACGGAAAAAGAUAAUAGAGCGAGAUUGAUAACUCGACACCGACGUGAAUUCGAGGACUAAUUCUAUUUAAGUGGGGGAGACUGUAAUACCCCGUACUUUGAUAUGGUGACUAAUAAAGCUUAUUGAAUGUCAAUUGAGGUUAAUUAUAAUGUUUAAAAGUGAUGAAAGAUGAAAGAAAUAGUUUGGGAUAAAAUAUUUCGCACGCGAAGAAAUAAUAAUAAAAUAAUAAUAUUUUUAUCAGGAAAGAAUUUGUGAGAUAAAAAGUGAUUCGAAAGUGAAUUGAGGCAUAAUAAGGUAUUUUGGGUACCAAGGAGACAAGAGGAGAUGAGGAAAUUUUUAGAAUAAAAUAUUAUUUUAUUAAUAAAAUAAUAUUAAAAUAUUAAUAUUUUAUUCAGUGUCGAAAUUUUCCAUGAAGAAGAAGUAUAUGGUCAAUCUAAAUGGGAGAGAAGAAGAAUGAGAAAAUUUCGGAGAAAAAUGACGUUAAUGGGGCCGCGUGUCUUUAUUAAGUAAAAUAGGAAGGGUAAAUAAAUAUUUUAAAUAUUUUAGGGACACCGCGUUGGAGUACAAACUUUAUACUUCAUUUGUACAUGUGUAGAAGAAGGUAAUAGAAGGAAAUUGGAGUUUAAGAAAUGUUGGAAGGAACCAAUUGUAAAAGAUGGAAGUUGGAUGAGUCACAUGGUAAAUAAGGAAAAGUUUAAGGACUCGUUUACAAUUUUGAUAUUUGAAGUUAAAAAAGGGAAUUUCCUAAUUAAGGAAGGCUAGGUUAUGAGUAAUAUGAGAUGUACAUAUAGGUUGAAUGGAUCAAGGAAUGAAUAAAUAAACCAUAAAGUAAAAAUAAUAUAAAGAAUAAAAAUGUGAGUGGUGGGUGGACGGUGAUAAAGCCUUUGUCAUGUGAUUUAACACAUAAAAUGGGUGGAGAAGAUAAGUCAAAAGUCAUGAAUUCAUGGACAAGCCGUCCAUGACAAAAAAAAAUGAGGAGAAAAGAAAAGAAAAAGAUGAAGGAAAAGUCAAAAGAAGAGAAAUUGCAUACAAAGGUUAAUAUUUUAUCUAAACCACCUAGGAACCAACGACAUUUUUUUCAUGAAAAAAGUUGCAUUUUUUUUCAUGCUUCUUGGGGAUUACCAGCAGCCCAUAUUGGCUGCCACUUGGCUCAUAGGGAUUUCCAGCAGCCCAUAUUGGCUGCCACUUGUCAUGCAAAAAGUCCAUGCUUAUCUUGACUUCAUUGGUAUUCACGGCAAGGAAGGGAAAUAUUUCUUUUGCAAGACUUUUUCUAAUUCUUUUUCCUUUCCAAGUGAAAAACCCAAGCUUCUCAAAAUCCUCCUCAAAGAACUCGAUUCAAAAAGGAAGGAAUGGACACAAGCAGCCGACCAACGUUGGGUAUUCCACCAUUUUUGAGGAAAAAUAGAUCUAUCAUCUUUUUCCUUAGAAACCCCAUAUAUUUAAAGCUUUCUCCCAAGAGAUUUGAGCUCCUUAGCAUUGAUAUUGGAAUUAGGGAAUUCAUGGUGAAGGUAAAAGCUUUAGUUUUAAGUUAUUAUAGUUAAGAAUAAACGAUUAAAUAUCGUUGUCUUGAUUGUGUAGCAAAUAGUAAACUCAAUUUGGAGAAGCUUGUUACGUGUUCGUUUCUUUUUCAACCCAAGCUUAUGGAAAGUGAUCUCUAGAGAGUUAAGGCUCCACAAUAGAGUUAAGGAGCUAGGAGUUUUAUUUGAGAGGUAAGAAAUUAUAAAUAUGGUCAUUUUAUUUGACUCGAUCGGUUGAACCUUUUAUUAAAUUAUUUAAGGCAACAAAGGUACCCUAAGAUUUGAAAGAAAUAGAUGCAUGCAUGUGGAUUGCAUGUUAAAUUAUUAUGAAAGACGAGGAUGAAAAAUGUGAAAUUAGAUUAAGGAUUAAUUGAUUGAAGUGUUGCCUGUACACGUAUGUAAUUAAAUAUAUUGAGUUUGUAUUGUUGCUAGGAAGUGCCAAAGUAAAGUUACAGUGCUGUGGUGGUGUGCCGGGGGAAAUAACGAGUGACUGGCAAGUAGGAAUAGCUAGAUACACCUCCGAACAAAUAGCGAUGUAAUAUCCCACUAUCGUAAGGUGAGUGAACUUGCAUUUCAAAAUGUUUUGGGGAAAUGCUUACGUGUUUUAAUGAAUCAUUUAAGAAUUUUAUUUGUUUUUGCUAAAAAAAAUGCCUGAGAACAAGCCCUUGAUAAAACAUUUUAUGUUGUGAAAUAUGCGAUAUGAUAAAUCCAUGUGCAUCUAUGUCAUGUUGAGGCAUAUAUAUAUGGAUAUAUAAUAUGUAUGGAUAAGUAAUAUUACGUGGUAAUUAUAACUGAGUAUGUGUGGUGGGGAAAGGCACAUACCGGUAAUGACGGUGAUUCCAGCUAUGUGCAGAUGUGGGGGUGCACAUGAGCUGAGGACCGGUGGAGGAUUCCAGCCAUGUGUGGAUGUGGGGGUUCACAUGAGCUGAUGACUGGCGGUGGUCUAUACCCAGCUAUGUGCGGUGGGGAAGGGCACAUGAGUUGAGGACCGUUGGCGUAUACAUGUUUGUAUAUAUAUAUAUAUAUGCCAUAGAGAUGAUUAUAUAUGCUAUGAAAUUAUUUGCAUAUGUUAUGAAAAGGUUAUGAAAAUAAUACGUGAUUGCACUGAAUAUUGAGGAAACUUGACUAUUGUUAAUGUGUUCAAUUUAAUGUGCCAUGUGGCACGAGUGAAUUUUCCUUGUGCUAGUGAAAACCCCUUAGAUUUUAUCUGGCCAGAAUUUUGUUCCAACAAGAAUGCGUUUUCGCUGCGGUGAGAGUCAAUCUAUUAUGCUUGACUUGCUUGAAUUCUACUAAAGUUUUCACUUUUCAACUUCUUUGUUGUUCAUGGGUCUUUCGUCAUCAAGUGACUAAACAACCAAGGGUUUGAAUGAGGGGUUUUUAAUAAGAAAUGAACUAAAUUGCAUUGUUUUUGAACUUAAGUGCAUCAUGAUUUCUAAACCUUCCUUAACGUUGCUUGUUCCCUUCCUAUGUUCACUCAUUGAGUUUAUACUCACAUUUUUAAUCUUCAUGUUUUAGGUUUUCUGAGUCAAAGGUGAUUGGAUCCUAGGACGAGGUGUUCCUCCCUAUCCAUUGCUCGGUAGGUUUAAUGUGACACUAAGUGUUAGCAACCAUGCCUAGAGUCACUCUGUUGACGAUCAAGGUCUAAUUACGUGUAUAUGAAUACUUGUUGUGAAAUGCUGAGAUUCAUUUGUC
rnacentral:lncRNA from 1 species